AAGCAAUUUUUGAUGACGGGAUGUCUACUGCGCUGAACAAUUCAAAUCACAUGAAUACUCUAGAUGAUUGUUUUUGGAAGGUUUUGCAGAGUACCAUUUGUAUGAAGGAAAUGGAGAUGCAAAAGUAUAAUCACAAAUUCCUUGAUAUGUUAAGUGGUUGCCAGUUUUGGAAAGAAGAAUAUAAACGGAGUAUUGCAGCGCAAAAAUAAAAUUUCUACGAGAUUACAAGCCAGACAAAUUGUUUGACAACACACGGUAGAAAAAUUCAGGAGCUAAUUAAUGAAGGAAUUCAUCAGAAAAAACCCAAAUGAUAUAUAAUAUGUAGCGUAGAACGUGAUGAAGGCUUUUAUUAAUCUGUCUAGAGGGUGGUUUGCAGGCGUGAAUUGUUUCUCUUGAGUAAUUCUGAUGUUGCUAGCAAAGUUUAUGAUAUUGAAAAGGGCGAUUUAAAUUAAUCGCCAAUUUUAAGCCAUGCUUUUAUAAAAAUGUUAUGCUGGUUUCUCCUAACAAUAUGUGAACUAAUUCGUCUUUGCCUCACAGCGAAGCUUGGACAAGUGACUUGACAUGACACAAACAAUGGACUAUGAUCCCAUUGGUGUCUAUUAAGCUCUCACAAUUGAAGCUCUAAACAAAAGGAAUUUGCCACGUUUAAGAACUCUUCGCCAAACCAACUGAGACAAGAACAAUUUUCUUUGCUUUAAAAUCAAGGAGGAACACAGGAAUGUCUUUUGUCCAUCAUGCAUAGAAAAUACUUCGACUAAUACCGAGAUAUUUACAUGUCGUCCACAGGAGAUUUUUGAAUAUUUGCCAUAUUAUUGCAAAGGUCUUUAGAAACUUUAGCCACCAGACCAAAUGGUCCAUGUACUUGUAUGUGUCCCUUACUCUUUACACACGAAAUUUCCACACGAUAAAGACAUCGUAGUCAUAAGAAUUUAGAGAGUAACAGUAAAAGCUAUAUCAUCUCUUAUUUAUUCUAUAAAAAAGUGAAAAAAAGCUUUAUUAUUAUUAUUUUUCUAUUAAAUCUGAUUAGACCUGUAUAGUUCUAAUGACAUUCUUUUUGACACUGUCUCACUCAAAGCAGAGGGUUAAAAAUGUAGCAUAAAAUGAAACAGACUAUAAUUUACUACAUUUCGACGUAAUUAAGCAUCCAUCCGUCUUUAAACAGUGUAAUCUUCACUUUAACAGUUACAGAAGACGACAUACCUGUAUUUUCAAAUACAAAGAGAUUAAAUAUAACAGUGUGGUUUGUCACUACAUACACUGCAUUAAGCCGUCCUUUAUAACAUCAGCAGUACCAUUAAAAGAAUAUGGAAAUUUCCAUCUUUGUUCUAUGAACCAAAUUAUAGCUCUGUUUCAACGCCCAUAGGAGAAACACACAGUGGCUCGCAGGACAGUUAAGCGGAAUUUAAAUAGGAAACACGAUUGACCAGUUGGGGAUUCAAAAUUGUUAUGAUGCCAAACACGUUACUGGUACAGGUAUAAUUAAAAGCCCUUUAAUGGGUCAUAUUUACAAAAUCGUAUGUAACAGGUUUGAUCGCAGAGACAACUAUCUAAAAAUACCUUUGGGAAAAAGAAGAACCAGUUAACACCACAGUCCGAAAAAUUGCAUAGAGCCUGUCAUGUAAAAUUUCAAAAGGAGAGAUCAACAAUGAGAGGAAAUGAAAAGUGAUUAUAAGAAAUACUCCAUAAUGGAUUGGCGCGGGGUGAAAAAGAAAAGGAAAAAAAAUUGUGGAUGCACUACUCAAAACAAGAGGUCCCGAUAAUGUGAACACAUAAAAUCAACUUCCUUGAAAUAAACUUCAUAUCACCUGAGCCUCAUACAGAGCCUACCAGUAUUUCCUUGAUUUUUUAAAAUUUCGAUAGUUUUAGUUUUUGUUUUCCCAAAGAAACAUUAAAAAUAAUUUUAUUUUGUUACAUGCUAUGAUCAAUAGAUUAGUCUAAGUCAACGUAUAUUUCUUAAUUUUUCUUACAACCCUGGCAAAAAUAAAUAGAAAAAAACAACAGUUAAAUAUCUAAACAUGGAAAGAUUUACCUUUGUUUUGAUGUGGUUUGAAGCACAAACUUUCGAAACUUGCUCUCCAAGCAAUACUCUAAGCUAUUGUUUAUCUAAGCAAUUUUUGAAACUUCUGAUGAAAAACGAAUUCUUGACACGUUGAUGUGCUAUUAACAAAUAAACUACAAAAAAGGUC
rnacentral:sRNA from 1 species